UCAAGUUAUUAAGGGUGCAGGGCGGAUGCCUUGGCACUAGGAGCCGAUGAAGGACGUGAUAAGCUGCGAUAAGCUUCGGGGAGUUGCACGUAAACUUUGAUCCGAAGAUUUCCGAAUGAGGAAACUCACUUAGAGUAAUGUCUAAGUAUCAUUAAGUGAAUACAUAGCUUAAUGAGGGGAACUCAGGGAACUGAAACAUCUAAGUACCUGAAGGAAGAGAAAGAAAUUCGAUUCCGUAAGUAGCGGCGAGCGAACGCGGAUUAGCCCAAACCAAUAAAGUUUUCUUUAUUGGGGUUGCGGACAUAUCAUAACGAAGAGGUAUCGUAAUUGAAGAGGUUUGGAAAGACCCACCACAGAAGGUAAUAGUCCUGUAUGUUAAACGAGAAGACUUCAGAUAUGAUCCAGAGUACCACGGGACACGUGAAACCCUGUGGGAAGCAGGAGGGACCACCCUCCAAGGCUAAAUACUACCUAGUGACCGAUAGCGUAUAGUACCGUGAGGGAAAGGUGAAAAGAACCCCGGGAGGGGAGUGAAAUAGAACCUGAAACCCUGCACUUACAAGCUGUGGAAGCACAUUUCUUGUGUGACCGCGUACUUUUUGUAGAACGGGCCAACGAGUUACGUUAAGUAGCAAGGUUAAGCACUUAAGGUGUGGAGCCGUAGCGAAAGCGAGUUUUAACUGAGCGUUCAGUUACUUGACGUAGACCCGAAACCGGGCGACCUACCCAUGAGCAGGAUGAAGCGAAAGUAAAAUUUCGUGGAGGUCCGAACCCACGAGCGUUGAAAAGCUCGGGGAUGACUUGUGGGUAGCGGUGAAAUUCCAAUCGAGCCCGGAGAUAGCUGGUUCUCCCCGAAAUAGCUUUAGGGCUAGCCUCAAGGUGAGAGAUACGGAGGUAGAGCACUGAAUGUCCUAGGGGGUAUUGCACCUACCGAAGACUAUCAAACUCCGAAUGCCGUCAUCUUAUACUUGGGAGUCAGACUGUGGGUGAUAAGAUUCAUAGUCGAAAGGGCAACAGCCCAGAUCGUCAGCUAAGGUCCCUAAAUGUAAGUUAAGUGGUAAAGGAUGUGGGAUUGCACAGACAACCAGGAUGUUGGCUUAGAAGCAGCCACUCAUUCAAAGAGUGCGUAAUAGCUCACUGGUCGAGUGAUCCUGCGCCGAAGAUUUCCGGGGCUAAAACUUACUACCGAAGCUACGGCAUCAGUAAUGAUGGGUAGGGGAGCUUCCCAUACGGGUUGAAGCAUGACCGUAAGGACAUGUGGACAGUAUGGGAGUGAGAAUGUUGGCAUGAGUAGCGAGAUGUGGGUGAGAAUCCCACAGGCCGUAAACCCAAGGUUUCCAGGGGAAGGUUCGUCCGCCCUGGGUUAGUCGGGACCUAAGCUGAGGCCGAAAGGCGUAGGUGAUGGACAACAGGUUGAUAUUCCUGUACUACCGAUAACCGUUUGAGAGAAGGGAUGACACAGUAGGAUAAGCUAAGCACACUGUUGGUUAUGUGUGCCCAAGCAUUGAGGCAGUCAAAGUAGGCAAAUCCGCUUUGAUAAUGCUGGGAUGUGAUGGGGAGCGAAAUUUAGUAGCGAAGUAGCUGAUUUCACACUGUCAAGAAAAGUCUCUAUCGAGGUUAAAGGUACCCGUACCGCAAACCGACACAGGUGGGUGAGGAGAGUAUCCUAAGGCCAGCGAGAGAACUGUUGUUAAGGAACUCGGCAAAAUGACCCCGUAACUUAGGGAUAAGGGGUGCCACCAUCAGGUGGCCGCAGAGAAUAGGCCCAAGCGACUGUUUACCAAAAACAUAGGUUUCUGCUAAGUCGCAAGACGAUGUAUAGGAGCUGACGCCUGCCCGGUGCUGGAAGGUUAAGGGGAUCUGUUAGAGCAAUCGAAGCAGUGAACUUAAGCCCCAGUAAACGGCGGCCGUAACUAUAACGGUCCUAAGGUAGCGAAAUUCCUUGUCGGGUAAGUUCCGACCCGCACGAAAGGCGUAACGAUUUGGGCACUGUCUCAACAACAGACUCGGUGAAAUUGUAAUUCCGGUGAAGAUGCCGGAUACCUGCGACAGGACGGAAAGACCCCAUGGAGCUUUACUGUAGCUUGACAUUGGGUUUUGGUACUACAUGUACAGGAUAGGUGGGAGGCUUUGAAACCAGGACGCCAGUUUUGGCGGAGCCAUCCUUGGGAUACCACCCUUGUAGUACUGGGACUCUAACCAUAGGCCAUGAAUCUGGUCUUGGGACACUGUCAGGUGGGCAGUUUGACUGGGGCGGUCGCCUCCCAAAAGGUAACGGAGGCGCUCAAAGGUUCUCUCAGUACGGUCGGAAAUCGUACGUAGAGUGUAAAGGCAAAAGAGAGCUUGAUUGCAAGACAUACAGGUCGAGCAAGGAUGAAAAUCGGACUUAGUGAUCCGGUGGUUCUGCGUGGAAGGGCCAUCGCUCAACGGAUAAAAGCUACCCUGGGGAUAACAGGCUUAUAUCUCCCCCAAGAGUCCACAUCGACGGGGAGGUUUGGCACCUCGAUGUCGGGUCGGGGGGUGUAGUAGGUCCCAAGGGUUGGGCUGUUCGCCCAUUAAAGUGGUACGCGAGCUGGGUUCAGAACGUCGUGAGACAGUUCGGUCCCUAUCCGUCGCAGGCGUAGGAAAUUUGAGAAGACCUGUCCUUAGUACGAGAGGACCGGGAUGGACGUACCUCUGGUGUACCAGUUGUUCUGCCAAGGGCAUGGCUGGGUAGCUAUGUACGGAAUGGAUAAGCGCUGAAAGCAUCUAAGCGCGAAGCCAACUUCAAGAUAAGAUUUCCCACCGCAAGGGUAAGACCCCAGAAAGACUAUCUGGUUGAUAGGUCGAAGGUGUAAGUGCAGCAAUGUAUUUAGCUUAUCGAUACUAAUAGGUCGAGGACUUGACCAA
rnacentral:rRNA from 1 species